UACAGAGGGUGCAAGCGUUGUUCGGAAUUAUUGGGCGUAAAGCGCGCGCAGGCGGUUCUUUUAAGUCUGAUGUGAAAGCCCACGGCUCAACCGUGGAGGGUCAUUGGAAACUGGAGAACUUGAGUACAGAAGAGGAAAGCGGAAUUCCACGUGUAGCGGUGAAAUGCGUAUAGAUGUGGAGGAACACCAGUGGCGAAGGCGGCUUUCUGGUCUGUAACUGACGCUGAGGCGCGAAAGCGUGGGGAGCAAACAGG
rnacentral:rRNA from 1 species